GACGAACGCUGGCGGCGGGCUUAACACAUGCAAGUCGAACGUUGAAGACCUGCUUUUUGUUGGGUUGAUUGGCUGGCGAACGGGUGAUUACAAGGUGGUUACCUUGCCCUCUUUUUUGGGUUAACGCCCGGAAACGGGUGCUAUAUCUGUAUUUUCACUGACCUUGGCUGGGGGUUGGGUGUAACGGUUUGUUCUGGUGGGGGUUGGGCUCGGGGCCUAUCAGUUUGUUGGGGGGGUGAUGGCCUCCCAAGGCUUUGACGGGUAGCCGGCCUGCGAGGGUGACCGGUGAAAUUGGGACUGGGAUAGGGCCCAGACUGAUACGGGAGGCAGCAGUGGGGAAUAUUGCACAAUGGGCGAAAGCCUGAUGCAGCGACGCCGCGUGAGGGAUGGAGGACUUCGGGGUGUAAACCUCUGUCGCUCAUGGUCAAGACGCAACUGUGGGUUGUGGUGAGGGUAGUGGGUAAAGAAGCGCCGGCUAACUACGUG
rnacentral:rRNA from 1 species